rnacentral:rRNA from 1 species
GACGAACGCUGGCGGCGUGCUUAACACAUGCAAGUCGAACGGAAAGGCCCUGCUUGCAGGGUACUCGAGUGGCGAACGGGUGAGUAACACGUGGGUGAUCUGCCCUGCACUUCGGGAUAAGCCUGGGAAACUGGGUCUAAUACCGGAUAGGAGCCAUUUUUAGUGUGAUGGUUGGAAAGUUUUUUCGGUGUAGGAUGAGCGCGCGGCCUAUCAGCUUGUUGGUGGGGUAAUGGCCUACCAAGGCGGAGACGGGUAGCCGGCCUGAGAGGGUGGACGGCCAAAUUGGGACUGAGAUACGGCCCAGACUCCUACGGGGGGCAGGAGGGGGGAAUAAUGCACAAUGGGGGCAAGCCUGAUGCAGCGACGGCGGGUGGGGGAUGAAGGCCCUCGGGUUGUAAACUCCUUUCGCGAGGGAAGAAGCUGUUUGUGACGGUACCUAGAUAAGAAGCACCGGCUAACUACGUG